rnacentral:rRNA from 1 species
CACGUAGGGGGCGAGCGUUGUCCGGAUUUAUUGGGCGUAAAGAGCUCGUAGGCGGUUAGACAAGUCUGAUGUGAAAGCCCACGGCUCAACCGUGGAGGGUCAUUGGAAACUGGGGAGCUUGAGUGCAGAAGAGGAGAGUGGAAUUCCACGUGUAGCGGUGAAAUGCGUAGAGAUGUGGAGGAACACCAGUGGCGAAAGCGGCUCUCUGGUCUGUAACUGACGCUGAGGCGCGAAAGCGUGGGGAGCAAACAGG